UCCAAGUCUCUUGGAAUAGAGUAUCAAAGAGGGUGACAAUCCCGUACUUGACGCGACAACCGGUGCUCUGUGAUACGUUCUCAAUGAGUCGAGUUGUUUGGGAAUGCAGCUCUAAAUGGGUGGUAAAUUCCAUCUAAGGCUAAAUAUUGGCGAGAGACCGAUAGCGAACAAGUACCGUGAGGGAAAGAUGAAAAGCACUUUGGAAAGAGAGUUAAACAGCACGUGAAAUUGUUAAAAGGGAAACGAUUGAAGUCAGUCGUGUGAAAGGUAUUCAGCCGUCUCUGGCGGUGUAUUUGCCUUUCACGGGUCAACAUCAGUUUGAUCCGGUAGAAAAAGGCGGGAGGAAGGUGGCACCCUCGGGUGUGUUAUAGCCUCCUGUCAUAUGUGCCGGACCAGACUGAGGAACGCAGCUUGCCGCAAGGCCGGGGUUCGCCCACGUACAAGCUUAGGAUGUUGACAUAAUGGCUUUAAACGACC
rnacentral:rRNA from 1 species